GUACAUCCCCCGCAUUCCAAGGAGGCUCCAGAGUGUGGUCACUUACGGGAGGUCUCCCAGACACCUCCUUCCUCCACUCCUGGACUCCAUCCUCUUCAGCAGGAGACGGCCACUUCGUGGUGUGAUUUGAGGGGCGUGGGAGGGCCUCUGACCACAUGGCUCUCCUCCUGAUGGGCAGCCCUCCUUCUAGAUGUUAUCUCUUGGCCACUCAAAAUGCUAACAUCACAGGCGAAUAUUUUCUGGCUUAGGCACUGCUUAAGAGCUUUACAUAGUAAUCUUGUCAAUAGUUCCAUGAAACUAAUGCUAUUGUUAUCACCCUCUUCCCGUUAAUAUGAAGGACACUGAAGCUUAGAGGCAGGGCCGGCCUGGAGUCCACAUCUCUGAGGCUGGAGCCCAUGUUCUUAACCACCCCGCCACCCUCCCCUCUGUGUGAGCCUGGUACUUUGUGCUUUUGAGCCUCCUGCUGCUCCAGACUCCGUGGAGAGCCCCGUGGGGGCUGUGUGGGGCUGGCCUCUCCACCUCCUCACCAUCCCAUCUGGCUUUCCUUUCUCCUGCGACUUCUGUUCUCGGUCGGGUAAAGCCAGCUGAGAGGAUCCGCAAUCGGCUACUUGUCCCCAAGCCUUUCUGCCAGGCUGCCUUGGUGGCUGAUGUGAGGUCUAGUCAGUCUCUGGCAUCUUUAUUUUGAGGAACCCUGAUCCCCAAAGAGGAAAGACAUUCUAACUGGUUCUUGCCUGAGGCUCAACUGGACCUGCGAGGCUUCUGCUUGUCCCUGUUCCUCUGCUUUGGAAGGGAUUCGAUUGUGGUAAGUCUUGGGAUGCAUUCCAGAGCUGGUGGCAGCCCCAAGCCUUGCCCAGCUGGCUGGCCUUGGUGCUACAGAUCAGCCCUCACGUCUUCCCUCUUGACUCCUUGCACAUGGCCGGUCAGUCCACGAACUCUGAAUCUCUGUCAG
rnacentral:lncRNA from 1 species